rnacentral:lncRNA from 1 species
UUUUUUAUUUUCUCUCGUUCUUUUUUCUCCUUUUUUAUUUUAUGUAUGGAGUCUUAUCUCGACUUGUGGAAGGGGGUCAUUGUCUCCAUCAUCCUUUCCUCAUUACACUUUUAUUUACUUACAACUGAUCAUGAAAAACUACAGUAUGACUCUAUAUGAAUGCCUCUGGCAGUGUAUGAGGAUGUGCAAAGAUUUAGCAGAGAAAAAUAUAUCAAAAUACGGACAAGCCAUCGAAAUAUCGUGAUAGCUGUCUUAGGAUCAUGCCAAGCAAUAUGAAAAUGAAAGUAUUAGUCUUAUAUUUUGACAACGGAAUUUUCGUGGAAAUAUAUCUCAGAAUGGCUAUGGAAAUGCCAUGAUCGAUAGAUUAUGUGCAACAGAUCGUAUCGACAUGGACUUUGGAUGCACCGGCGAAGGUUCCAUCGAUCCUCGAGGCGAGAAUGGGAAAUGCACGGCACCGAAG